CCACCGGGAUGUUCAUAACCCUUUGUUGUCCGACUCUGUUGCCUCCGGGGCGACCCUGCCUUCGGGCGGGGGCUCCGGGUGGACACUUCAAACUCUUGCGUAACUUUGCAGUCUGAGUAAACUUAAUUAAUAAAUUAAAACUUUUAACAACGGAUCUCUUGGUUCUGGCAUCGAUGAAGAACGCAGCGAAAUGCGAUAAGUAAUGUGAAUUGCAGAAUUCAGUGAAUCAUCGAAUCUUUGAACGCACAUUGCGCCCCCUGGUAUUCCGGGGGGCAUGCCUGUUCGAGCGUCAUUUCACCACUCAAGCCUCGCUUGGUAUUGGGCAACGCGGUCCGCCGCGUGCCUCAAAUCGACCGGCUGGGUCUUCUGUCCCCUAAGCGUUGUGGAAACUAUUCGCUAAAGGGUGUUCGGGAGGCUACGCCGUAAAACAACCCCAUUUCUAAGGUUGACCUCGGAUCAGGUAGGGAUACCCGCUGAACUUAA
rnacentral:rRNA from 1 species